rnacentral:sRNA from 1 species
GCCAGGUGCGGUGGCGCACACCUGUAAUACCAGUGGCUCAGGAGGCUGAGGCAGGAGGAUCACAAGCUAAAAGCCAGCCUCAGCAACAGCAAGGCGCUAAGCAACUCACUGAGACCCUGUCUCUA